AUGGAGACCCUCUUGGGCCUGCUUAUCCUUUGGCUGCAGCUGCAAUGGGUGAGCAGCAAACAGGAGGUGACGCAGAUUCCUGCAGCUCUGAGUGUCCCAGAAGGAGAAAACUUGGUUCUCAACUGCAGUUUCACUGAUAGCGCUAUUUACAACCUCCAGUGGUUUAGGCAGGACCCUGGGAAAGGUCUCACAUCUCUGUUGCUUAUUCAGUCAAGUCAGAGAGAGCAAACAAGUGGAAGACUUAAUGCCUCGCUGGAUAAAUCAUCAGGACGUAGUACUUUAUACAUUGCAGCUUCUCAGCCUGGUGACUCAGCCACCUACCUCUGUGCUGUGAGG